rnacentral:misc_RNA from 1 species
UCCUAGUUAACCUAGGCAGUCUCGUUAGAGUUCCCGCCUCUACGCGUUGGCAACUAAGGACGGGGGUUGCGCUCGUUGCGGGACUUAACCCAACAUCUCACGACACGAGCUGACGACAGCCAUGCAGCACCUGAACCAGGAGUCCCCGAAGGGAAGGCCCCAUUUCUGGGGUUGUCUCCUGUUGUCUAGCCCAGGUAAGGUUCUUCGCGUUGCGUCGAAUUGAACCACAUGCUCCACCGCUUGUGCGGGCCCCCGUCAAUUCCUUUGAGUUUCAGCCUUGCGGCCGUACUCCCCAGGCGGGGCACUUCAUGCGUUAGCGCCGGUACUCCAAGGGUCGCUCCCCGGAGCACCUAGUGCCCAUCGUUUACGGCGUGGACUAC